GGUUGACCUCGGAUCAGGUAGGGAUACCCGCUGAACUUAAGCAUAUCAAUAAGCGGAGGAAAAGAAACCAACAGGGAUUGCCUCAGUAACGGCGAGUGAAGCGGCAAGAGCUCAAAUUUGAAAGCUGGCUCCUUCGGGGUCCGCAUUGUAAUUUGCAGAGGAUGCUUCGGGCAUGGCCCCCGUCUAAGUGCCCUGGAAGGGGCCGUCAUAGAGGGUGAGAAUCCCGUCUGGGACGGGGUGUCCGUGUCCGUGUGAAGCUCCUUCGACGAGUCGAGUUGUUUGGGAAUGCAGCUCUAAAUGGGUGGUAAAUUUCAUCUAAAGCUAAAUACUGGCCGGAGACCGAUAGCGCACAAGUAGAGUGAUCGAAAGAUGAAAAGCACUUUGAAAAGAGAGUUAAACAGCACGUGAAAUUGUUGAAAGGGAAGCGUUUGCGACCAGACUCGCCCGCGGGGUUCAACCGGCAUUCGUGCCGGUGUACUUCCCCGUGGGCGGGCCAGCGUCGGUUUGGGCGGCCGGUCAAAGGCCUCCGGAAUGUAUCGCCCUUCGGGGUUGUCUUAUAGCCGGGGGUGCAAUGCGGCCUGCCUGGACCGAGGAACGCGCUUCGGCUCGGACGCUGGCGUAAUGGUCGUAAAUGACC
rnacentral:rRNA from 2 species